rnacentral:tRNA from 1 species
GGGGUUGUGGCUCAGUGGUAGAGCGCUCGCCUAGCACGUGAGAGGCCCUGGGUUCCUCAGCACUA